rnacentral:rRNA from 1 species
AAUAGCUCAAAUUUGAAAGCUGGCGUCUUCGACGUCCGCGUUGUAAUUUGUAGAGGAUGCUUCGGCGAAGACUCCUGCCUAAGUCCCCUGGAACGGGGCGUCAUAGAGGGUGAGAAUCCCGUAUGUGGCGGGCAGUCUAAGCCAUGUGAAGCUCCUUCGACGAGUCGAGUUGUUUGGGAAUGCAGCUCUAAAUGGGAGGUAAAUUUCUUCUAAAGCUAAAUAUUGGCCAGAGACCGAUAGCGCACAAGUAGAGUGAUCGAAAGAUGAAAAGCACUUUGGAAAGAGAGUUAAAAAGUACGUGAAAUUGUUGAAAGGGAAGCGCUUGCAACCAGACUCGCUCGUAGUUGCUCAGCCGGCCUCUUGGCCGGUGUACUCUUCUACGAUCGGGCCAGCAUCAGUUCGGGCGGCAGGAUAAAGGUGUCGGGAAUGUAGCACCCUUCGGGGUGUGUUAUAGCCCGGCGCGGAAUGCUGCCAGCCUGGACUGAGGAUCUCGCUUCGGCAAGGAUGCUGGCGUAAUGGUUGUAAGCGGCCCGUCUUGAAACACGGACCAAGGAGUCUAACAUCUAUGCGAGUGUUUGGGUGUCAAACCCAUGCGCGUAAUGAAAGUGAACGGAGGUGGGAACCCCUCACGGGGUGCACCAUCGACCGAUCCUGAUGUCUUCGGAUGGAUUUGAGUAAGAGCAUAGCUGUUGGGACCCGAAAGAUGGUGAACUAUGCCUGAAUAGGGUGAAGCCAGAGGAAACUCUGGUGGAGGCUCGCAGCGGUUCUGACGUGCAAAUCGAUCGUCAAAUUUGGGUAUAGGGGCGAAAGACUAA